GGUAGUAUGUGUCCCUGGCGUGUCUACGGACCCCCCAAACAUGAGAAAAGUCCAUCCUCUCGUUCUUUUGCUUUCUCCACCUUUCAAGAAAUGUGUGCUCAAACGAGCGGAUUGGAGAUUCGCCCCUGGUGACGUCAAGAAGGGCGAUGCCCCUCCCCCCGGAUGGGUGACGCUCCCCGAGCUAGGUGUGUGUUCCGCCCUCUGAGUCCGUGUUACAGACGGUAUCGUUACUUCCCUCGCGAACACUGGCUUUCGGUAGAACAAUGUCGAAGGUACGAGCGAAACACAGUAGUUGCUUUGUUGUUGGCUGCACAAACCAACACAGGAGUCUUUUUUAAAUCCCUACGCCCGAGGAUCUGAAGACCCAGUGGAUUAAUUUUAUUUUUGAUGGAAAUGUUCCCGCUCCAACUCCGAAAGUGUUGUACGUGUGUGCUAACCAUUUCACCUCGGACUGCUUUCUCAACGAGGGCCAGGACAACGCAGGAUUUCCUACAAGUCUCAAGAUAAAGCUUGGAUCAGUACCGACUGUCCGUGACCCAACUUUGAACUUCGGAGCUGCCAUCUAUACAGCUUCCUGCAACAAGGGGUGUUGCAUGCCAGACUGACCCACUGCAGGCACACAGUUAUCCUUGAAGAUCUUCAGCCUCACAUCAGAAGUACAGGGAAUGUGGUGGACCUCAUAUUUGAAAAAGUCUUUGUGACCUGGGACCAUACACAGAAGCUGCUUUGGCCAUCCCCAUCCCAGAGGACCUCACUGCACAGUCGAGCGGCCUGAGAAGGAGGAGGUCAUA